rnacentral:rRNA from 1 species
GACGAACGCUGGCGGCGUGCUUAACACAUGCAAGUCGAACGGAAAGGCCCUGCUUUUGUGGGGUGCUCGAGUGGCGAACGGGUGAGUAACACGUGAGUAACCUGCCCUUGACUUUGGGAUAACUUCAGGAAACUGGGGCUAAUACCGGAUAGGAGCUCCUGCUGCAUGGUGGGGGUUGGAAAGUUUCGGCGGUUGGGGAUGGACUCGCGGCUUAUCAGCUUGUUGGUGGGGUAGUGGCUUACCAAGGCUUUGACGGGUAGCCGGCCUGAGAGGGUGACCGGCCACAUUGGGACUGAGAUACGGCCCAGACUCCUACGGGAGGCAGCAGUGGGGAAUAUUGCACAAUGGGCGGAAGCCUGAUGCAGCAACGCCGCGUGCGGGAUGACGGCCUUCGGGUGGUAAACCGCUUUCGCCUGUGACGAAGCGUGAGUGACGGUAAUGGGUAAAGAAGCACCGGCUGACUACGUG